GCGGGGCGACCGCCGCUGCGGCCCCGCCCCUCCGUUGCUAUGGUAACCCCGGGGCCGAGGCCUCGCCUCCCUGCGCCGUGUCCCCGCCGGCCUCGGCCUGGGGCGGCCCCGAGCCCGGGAGCCGCGGCCGUGCGGCGGAGGCGGGCCGCGGGAUGGCGCGGCCCCGGCCCCGCUGUGAGGCGGGCCGCCCGUUGUCCUCAGCCCGCCGUGCCCCGAGCGCCCUCCCGGCGCACAAGGCCUGUCCCGAGGCGGGAGCCUUCAAGGGGUUCCUGGCUCAAGGAGCUGGGCUUUAGAGGGUGCCGCUUCGGAACCAAGGAGGUGGCAGAGGCAGACCUCACCAGCGAGUCCAAAACAGGCUGACACAAAUGCAUAGCCGAGAGGCCCCCGACAGACACCGACCAGGAAGCAAGCCCUGGCAGCACCCAGGAACGGCUCCAGCCUGGGCGAGGAGGCGGUGUGAGGUGAGCGGAGGGUGGCUGGGCUCACCUGCUCGCUCCACGCAGCACCUGCCAUCCUCCGUGCUGAGACCACAGGUGAGCCAGGCGGGGUGCUGGUGUGAGCGCCGCUCUAACCCCGUGGGACGCUUCUCAGGGCUUUAACCACUGCCAGCGUGGUUCAUUACUCUUGCAAGUUACUUUUGCUUAAGCCUGCACACCCACCGCUGUGUGGAGGGUUUGGUUCAGACCCACAGAUACAGUCCCACAACGUGCCAAACAAGGGAAACCUGGUGAAUUUGGGAAUAAAGCCGGCGGGACCUCAGACAGCACCCUGCUUCUGCACUUGCAACGCGCACCACGGCUCACGUGGCGGCUACUGCGGGUUUCUUCAUUAAAACUCAAAAAGGCGUUUCUGAGGAGCUUU